CGCUGGCGGAGGUGGUGCUCA
rnacentral:misc_RNA from 1 species